UGGGGAAUAUUGGGCAAUGGGGGAAACCCUGACCCAGCGACGCCGCGUGAGGGAUGAAGGUUUUCGGAUUGUAAACCUCUGUCUUCAGGGACGAAAAAAUGACGGUACCAAAGGAGGAAGCCCCGGCUAACUACGUGCCAGCAGCCGCGGUAAUACGUAGGGGGCGAGCGUUGUCCGGAUUUACUGGGCGUAAAGGGUACGUAGGCUGCAUCAUAAGUCGGGCGUGAAAGGCAGGGGCUCAACCCCUGGAGUGCGCUUGAUACUGUGAUGCUAGAGUCAUGGAGGGGGAACCGGAACUCUCGGUGUAGCAGUGAAAUGCGUAGAUAUCGAGAAGAACACUCGUGGCGAAGGCGGGUUCCUGGACAUGUACUGACGCUGAGGUACGAAGGCUAGGGGAGCGAAAG
rnacentral:rRNA from 1 species